rnacentral:rRNA from 1 species
CAAUAGCGUAUAUUAAAGUUGUUGCAGUUAAAAAGCUCGUAGUUGGAUUUCGGGAUGGCCCGGCCGGUCUGCCGCAAGGUAUGUUACUGGCCGAGCUGUUCUUCUUCGCAAAGACUGUGUGUGCUCUUAACUGAGUGUGCUCAGGAUCUGUGACGUUUACUUUGAAAAAAUUAGAGUGUUCAAAGCAAGCCAGCGCUUGAAUACAUAAGCAUGGAAUAAUGGAAUAGGACUUUGGUUCUAUUUUGUUGGUUUCUGGAACCUUAGUAAUGAUUAAGAGAGACAGUUGGGGGCAUUCGUAUUUCGUUGUCAGAGGUGAAAUUCUUGGAUUUACGAAAGACGAACUACCGCGAAAGCAUUUGCCAAGAAUGUUUUCAUUAA